rnacentral:rRNA from 1 species
UACAGAGGUCCCGAGCGUUGUUCGGAUUCAUUGGGCGUAAAGGGUGCGUAGGCGGCUUCCUAAGUUUGAUGUGAAAUCCUGGGGCUCAACCCUGGAACUCAUUGAAUACUGGGAGGCUAGAGUACUGGAGAGGAAACUGGAAUUUACGGUGUAGCAGUGAAAUGCGUAGAGAUCGUAAGGAAGACCGUGGCGAAGGCGAGUUUCUGGACAGUUACUACG